AUUGAACGCUGGCGGCAUGCUUUACACAUGCAAGUCGAACGGUAACAGGCCGCAAGGUGCUGACGAGUGGCGAACGGGUGAGUAAUGCAUCGGAACGUGCCCAGUCGUGGGGGAUAACUACUCGAAAGAGUAGCUAAUACCUCAUACGAUCUAUGGAUGAAAGCGGGGGACCGUAAGGCCUCGCGCGAUUGGAGCUGCCGAUGUCAGAUUAGGUAGUUGGUGGGGUAAAGGCUCACCAAGCCAACGAUCUGUAGCUGGUCUGAGAGGACGACCAGCCACACUGGGACUGAGACACGGCCCAGACUCCUACGGGAGGCAGCAGUGGGGAAUUUUGGACAAUGGGCGCAAGCCUGAUCCAGCAAUGCCGCGUGCAGGAAGAAGGCCUUCGGGUUGUAAACUGCUUUUGUACGGAACGAAACGGCUCUGGUUAAUACCCGGAGCUAAUGACGGUACCGUAAGAAUAAGCACCGGCUAACUACGUG
rnacentral:rRNA from 1 species